rnacentral:rRNA from 1 species
AUUGAACGCUGGCGGCAGGCCUAACACAUGCAAGUCGAGCGGAUGAGGGGUGCUUGCACCCCGAUUCAGCGGCGGACGGGUGAGUAAUGCCUAGGAAUCUGCCCGAUAGUGGGGGACAACGUUUCGAAAGGAACGCUAAUACCGCAUACGUCCUACGGGAGAAAGUGGGGGCUCUUCGGACCUCACGCUAUCGGAUGAGCCUAGGUCGGAUUAGCUAGUUGGUGGGGUAAAGGCUCACCAAGGCGACGACCCGUAACUGGUCUGAGAGGAUGAUCAGUCACACUGGAACUGAGACACGGUCCAGACUCCUACGGGAGGCAGCAGUGGGGAAUAUUGGACAAUGGGCGAAAGCCUGAUCCAGCCAUGCCGCGUGUGUGAAGAAGGUCUUCGGAUUGUAAAGCACUUUAAGUUGGGAGGAAGGGUUGUAGGUUAAUACCUUGCAGCCUUGACGUUACCGACAGAAUAAGCACCGGCUAACUUCGUGCCAGCCGCCGCAGUAAGAC